UGGAGCAUGUGGUUUAAUUCGAAGAUACGCGAAAAACCUUACCAGGUCUUGACAUACCAAUGAUCGCUUUUGUAAUGAAAGCUUUUCUUCGGAACAUUGGAUACAGGUGGUGCAUGGUCGUCGUCAGCUCGUGUCGUGAGAUGUUGGGUUAAGUCCCGCAACGAGCGCAACCCUUGUUAUUAGUUGCCAGCAUUUAGUUGGGCACUCUAAUGAGACUGCCGGUGAUAAACCGGAGGAAGGUGGGGACGACGUCAGAUCAUCAUGCCCCUUAUGACCUGGGCAACACACGUGCUACAAUGGGAAGUACAACGAGUCGCAAACUGGCGACGGUAAGCUAAUCUCUUAAAACUUCUCUCAGUUCGGACUGGAGUCUGCAACUCGACUCCACGAAGGCGGAAUCGCUAGUAAUCGCGAAUCAGCAUGUCGCGGUGAAUACGUUCCCGGGUCUUGUACACACCGCCCGUCAAAUCAUGGGAGUCGGAAGUACCCAAAGUCGCUUGGCUAACUUUUAGAGGCCGGUGCCUAAGGUAAAAUCGAUGACUGGGAUUAAGUCGUAACAAGGUAGCCGUAGGAGAACCUGCGGCUGGAUCACCUCCUUUCUAAGGA
rnacentral:rRNA from 1 species